rnacentral:rRNA from 1 species
UACGUAGGGGGCGAGCGUUGUCCGAAGUCACUGGGCGUAAAGCGCGCGUAGGCGGGGGAUUAAGUGAGAAGUGAAAGGCUGGGGCUCAACCUCAUGCAGUGCUUCUCAUACUGGUCCUCUUGAGGGCGGUAGGGAGAAGUGGAAUGGCUGGUGUAGCGGUGAAAUGCGUAGAUAUCAGUCGGAACACCGGUGGCGAAGGCGGCGUUCUGGACUGCAACUGACACUGAGAAACGAAAGCCAGGGUAGCAAACGGG